UACGGGGGGGGGCAAGCGUUGUUCGGAAUUACUAGGCGUAAAGGGCUCGUAGGCGGCCAACUAAGUCAUACGUGAAAUCCCUCGGCUUAACCGGGGAACUGCGUCUGAUACUGGAUGGCUUGAGUUCGGGAGAGGGAUGCGGAAUUCCAGGUGUAGCGGUGAAAUGCGUAGAUAUCUGGAGGAACACCGGUGGCGAAGGCGGCAUCCUGGACCGAUACUGACGCUGAGGAGCGAAAGCGUGGGGAGCGAACAGG
rnacentral:rRNA from 1 species